AAAUUACAACUCUAAUUCUUCACAUGGCCAUUUUUAUGAUGAAUUGUGCUUAUUGCUCCUUUACAGUGCUCCAGUAGAAACUAAGCUGGGAAGGCGAGGUGCAAGUGGACAAAUGAUGAAGUCAAGGCUGUUGAGCGGCACUUGCUUCAUUUCAUAACAAGCUGCAAAGUACCUGGCAAAAAGGAUUGUGACUCCUGCAUCCAAGCAGAGCCGGCAGCUCUGAAAGACAGAGACUGGGCUGCCGUAAAGUAUUACAUCCACAACAGGAUCAUAACAUUGAAACGAAAGAUGAAUGAAUAAAAUUAUAAAAUGCAGGUUCAGGAAUGCUGCAUCAGUUAAAAUUAACUUUAUUUUCAUUGUAUUUUUUUACAUUUUUGACUUUGUCUGUUGGGUUACUAAUGACUAAGUUACUCAGUCCUUUCUCCUGGUUUUUGCCAUCAUAUGUUCAUACUGUUUUCAGUUUAAACAAGCAAGGGAGAUAGUUUGUGACUCUGUUAUUUCAGUAUUGCAGGUCUCUGCAUUGCGUUCUUACUCACAAAUCUGUUUAUUAUGGGUGCAUUUUGUAAUUAAAAAAUAAGAAAGGCAGAUAAUGUUCCAUGUUUUUAUUCACAUAAACAUUCACUGCAAAAUGAAUUAGUGCAAUACAAUAUUAAGACUUAAAAAGUAGACUGACCACAUUUUUGAGCUAUGUCUCUUUUUAAGUCUCUAUACAGCUCCGAUUUACUGUGUUGUAUUAACAUAUGAAUGUCUGAUAUUUCUGUCAGAAGUUACCCGACUGGUCAUCGUUACUAUUGUACAUCUAUGCCUAUUAUAUUGUAAUUUCAAAAACCUGUAACAAGAGCCAAGCUGAAAAUACAGACGCUAGCCUUA